rnacentral:misc_RNA from 1 species
AAGUCGUAACAAGGUUUCCGUAGGUGAACCUGCGGAAGGAUCAUUAUCGUACAACCGAGGUGCGAGGGUUGUCGCUGACCUUCAAAGGUCAUGCACGCCCAAGCGCUCUCACACAUCCAUCUCACCCAUUUGUGCAUCACCGCGUGGGCCCACCCUUUGCCGGGGAGGGCUUGCGUUUUCACAUAAAACUUGAUACAGUGUAGAAUGUUUUCAUUUGCGGUCACAUGCAAUCAAUACAACUUUCAACAACGGAUCUCUUGGCUCUC